GAUGAACGCUGGCGGCGUGCCUAAUACAUGCAAGUCGAGCGAACGGACGAGAAGCUUGCUUUUCUGAUGUUAGCGGCGGACGGGUGAGUAACACGUGGAUAACCUACCUAUAAGACUGGGAUAACUUCGGGAAACCGGAGCUAAUAUCGGAUAAUAUUUUGAACCGCAUGGUUCAAAAGUGAAAGACGGUCUUGCUGUCACUUAUAGAUGGAUCCGCGCUGCAUUAGCUAGUUGGUAAGGUAACGGCUUACCAAGGCAACGAUGCAUAGCCGACCUGAGAGGGUGGUCAGCCGCACUGGAACUGAGACACGGUCCAGACUCCUACGGGAGGCAGCAGUAGGGAAUCUUCCGCAAUGGGCGGAAGCCUGACGGAGCAACGCCGCGUGAGUGAUGAAGGUCUUCGGAUCGUAAAACUCUGUUAUUAGGGAAGAACAUAUGUGUAAGUAACUGUGCACAUCUUGACGGUACCUAAUCAGAAAGCCACGGCUAACUACGUG
rnacentral:rRNA from 1 species